rnacentral:rRNA from 1 species
CGGAGGAUCCAAGCGUUAUCCGGAUUUAUUGGGUUUAAAGGGUGCGUAGGCGGCCUGUUAAGUCAGGGGUGAAAGACGGUAGCUUAACUAUCGCAGUGCCCUUGAUACUGAUGGGCUUGAAUACACUAGAGGUAGGCGGAAUGUGACAAGUAGCGGUGAAAUGCAUAGAUAUGUCACAGAACACCGAUUGCGAAGGCAGCUUACUAUGGUGUCAUUGACGCUGAGGCACGAAAGCGUGGGGAUCAAACAGGAUUAGAUACCCUGGUAGUCCACGCCCUAAACGAUGAAUACUCGCUGUUGGCGAUACACAGUCAGCGGCUAAGCGAAAGCGUUAAGUAUUCCACCUGGGGAUACGCUCGCAAGAGUG